rnacentral:lncRNA from 1 species
CUUUUGGGAAGGCUACUCCUUCCCAAAGGCUCUCUGCUACAGGACCUAUACCUCACCUGUCUGGGAGGUCCACGGUGCUUCUGUCCCCUCAACUCCCUGCAGGUCGAUAACCCAUGGCUCUUGUCCCUGUUCCAACCGAGAGAUCAGCUCAGGUUUGAAGACCAGGAAUCCUGCUGUGUGUGGUCAGAGAAGGAGAUGCUAGGAGCAUGGCUAGUGCUUGACAUCCCCCCAAAAUAAAAAGGGCGAGUUGCCCUCCAGAUAUUAGCACAUACUAGCCAGAAGCGAUGAUGCACCUUCAGCCCCAGUCACUUGGGAGGCUGAAGUGUUCCAAAAACCAAAGCAACGAAACAGAAACAAACCAAGCAGGAAGCUGGCCCACAGACUCUCAGAAAAGAAUAGCGCAGAAAUACACUACUUCAUAUUUUAAGACCAUCAACAGGAAAAGGAGGUUGUCAGCAAAUCAUGUUGGGGAAAUGUUUCAAUGCUCAGACAAAAAUAAAACAGGAUUUUUCCUUAACUCCAACACAAUGGUGAAGCCUUGAUAUUAAUAAGGAAGAUAAGCUAUAAAAUUCACAGGAGAAAAUGUAGGCCAUUUCAAAAAGUUUGAAGUAGGGAAUAACUAAUAAAACCUCAAAGGCAUAAGCUAUAAGACAAAACCCAAAGUACAUUAUGUGAAAAUGUGACAAGGCUGGGAAUGCAGCUCAGUGGCAGAAUGCUCACCUAGCAGGCAUGAAGCCCUGGCAGGCUCAAUCCCCAGUACUGAAAAAAACAAAAAACAAAAAACUAACCAGCGUUACCAAACAUGAGAGAAGGGUAAAGGUACAAUGUGAAUCGGUGUGGUGUUCACCCUUGAUAUACUGUAAGAUAGACUUUGUAUAAAAUGCUUUCACACCUCUAAACCUCAGGGACAUCUUAGAAUUGAAAUCAGAAGUCUUCCAGCAACUGGUAAUAGAUGUGACAUGCCACUGCUGCCCACACAAGCUGCAUUAUCUGCUCUGUACACUGUCUUCAAAAAAUUUAUUCUGGCCAGUCAUAGUGGCACAUGGCUGCAAUCCCAUCGACUCAGGAGGCUGAGGCAGACAGAUCACAAGUUUGAGGCCAACCUCAGAAACUUAGGUGAAGCCCUCAGCAACUUAGUGAGAUUCUGUCUCAAAAAAUAAAAAGGGCUGGGGAUAUAGCUCAGCUGUAAAGUGCCAUGCAUUCAAUCUCCAGUACCAAAAAAGAAAAACAAACAUUAAUUUAGUAGCUUAAGAAAAAAGAGGCUUUAUUAACUCUCAGAAUUUCACCUACCCAGUGAGGGCCGAGUCACCUGAUAUGUGCAAAGUCUGGAACCAGCCUAGCACAGGUUUGAGGCCCCUAUUUGGCCCAAGACAGUCUGAGCACUCAGCCUCCCCCACAUCUGAUGCAGGCCUGGCUGGCUGUGUGGGUGCUGACUGACUGUGCAAGGGAGGGGGACCAAGGUGCCACCUCACCUAGUCCGGCCACGCUGCUGUGGUUCUCCAGCAUCACCUCCCUGUAGAGGGCCUUCUGGCCAGAGUCCAAACACUGCCACUCCUCCCGGGAGAAGUGCACAGCCACGUCACCAAAUGUCACCGCCUCCUGAAAGGACAAAUACCAGCACCCCAGGGAUCCCUGGGUGCCAGCCCCAUUCUUGCACGGCAUCACAGCAUAUCUCAGGCAGGUGUACCAAGGGGUUGGGCAAGAGUUGCCCAGCUCCUUCCUCCAAAAUCCGAGGAAAGGGAAGUUUAAGAGGAGAGGAGGGACCUGGCUCUUGGUAACCAUAUGACCCUCCCUCUCACAAGCCUCAGAUAGGCCGAUCUGGCAGAGGUUUGCUCACUGCCUUUGGGGUGCCAAGGGGGGUGCCUGAGUCUGGCAAGAGCCAGUGAGGGCUGAGGGUGGGUCUGGGUCUGCAUCCAGGCCCAGGAAGCAGGGUAGAUGCCCAAAGUAGGAGGUAGAGGCUUCCCAGAGCAAGUGUGGGAAUGGAGGCAGCCAAGCUUCCUACCAUGAGGCUUGAUGGAUGGUGUCCACUGGUCUUGGCUGGGACACCUGCAGGGAAUUAUGAAAGGGUUAGAGGUCAGGGUGGUAGAAGCUCCUUAACGCCUAAGAAAAUCAAGGCGGUACUGUAUUUCCUGCACAGCAGGCACAUGAGUUGGGUCGAAGCAACCCUGAUGCUUAAGUAUGUGGCCCCUGAAGCCUUAUGCAUCUUUCAAUGUGUUUGUGUAUGAUGUCAAUCAGUCCACACAGGAGUGGCUGGCAUGUACCACACACUCAAAUAGGCAAAGGGGAGGCAGUGGUGAAUGCACAAUAAUCCUACCUUCAUGGACCAGGCUAGUGGAGGAAGGAACAAAAUAACCAAAAAAUCAUAAUCGUGGUAGUGCUGAUAUGGGGAACUAUGAAAACCUUUAACUGGAAAACUGAUUUAGGCUGAGUGCAGUGGCACAUGCCUAUAAUCCCAGUGACUCAGGAAGCUAAGACAGCAGGAUUGAAAGUCUGAGGCCAGCCUCAGCAACUUAACAACGUCCUUAGCAAUUUGGUGAGACCCUGAUUCAAAAUGAAAAAUAAAAAGGACUGUGGAAGUGGCACAGUAGUAAAGUGCUCCUGGUUUAAAUCCCCAGUACCAAAAUAAAACAAAACAAAACAAAUCAUUUAGUCUAAAGGGUCACUUCUUCAGGGAUCUAGGCCAAGGUGACUGUGGUGGGGAGAACACUCCCGGCAGUAUGAACAUCAUGUGCAAAGGGCCUGAGGCAAUUAAGAAUAAGAUUGAAGGAGCCAGUGAGGGUAGAUCACAGGCAGCAGGCAUGCAGCAACUGCAGGUUGAAAUAGAUACAAGACAGGAUGAUGUACUGCAGGGAAGAUAGGAUCAAAUGCAGGAAGCAUGCUCCAAGUACAUAAACUCCAUCCAGGGAUCAGCUAUGGCUAGCAUCUGUCACCAGGAUGGCACCAGCCCCAGAAGUUACUGAUGUAGCUAACACCUCAGGAAGUCCCGUGAGAGGUCAGAAUGGGAAGUGCUUCUUAGAGGAGCUUUUGGCCAAGAAAGUGGCCCCAGGCCAAUGGGACAUUGGAGCACGACCCCGGCAGUAGUGACCACUGGAGGGCGAUGCUCCUUUGGAGCCUGGACAUUUAGGGUGCUGCUGCCAGGGCUGGAAGAGUAAGAGAAAGGAAGGCCUUGAAUGGGGGUCCAGACUCGAAGACAGUCUAACCCACCCAACAUCAGUGGCACCAAUGUUGAUGCCACUGUCACCGAUUCGAAGCCCUGCAGGAGCAGAAAGUGAGAGGAAAAGACGGGACCCUAGAAGAAGUGAUUAUGCAGGAAAACCAGGGAGAACUCCGGAGCAGCCCAGGGCGGGAGGGAAAGCGCAGUUAGGGCUCGCCUUACUCAGGCAGGACGCCGGAGUCCGCGAGCAACCUGGGGGUAGCUGCGGGGUUCACACGCUCCACUGCCGCCUCUCGCCGACGGAGUCCAGGGCGGCCGCUGCCCGACCAUGUCCUCCGCCCAGCGUUCACCGCCUCUGUAAGCAGCCCAGGCUUCCCUAAGUAGAGGCCAACCCAGCGCGCCGCACCGACUCACCCUACCGGAGGCCAGCCCAAGGCCCGUAAACGCGCGACGCCGCCAGAAACGGGCCUCACUCACGCACCCCGCCCACUUCCGGCCGUUCUGGUCCGCUCGGAGGUUCGGCCGUCUCGGCGGUUCCCAGCCCCGCCUCCCGGGUUUGGGAGGAAGGGGCGGAGCCGGAGCCCGAAGGAGAGGCAAAUUGUAGCGCGGUUUAGAGUAGGCCCAAGAGCUGGGCCAGGAGCUCGAGGAAUAGGCUAGGGUCUGUGGCGGGCGGGACAGGGGCCACGGGGGUGUCGCUUACCGGGAGGGCGGGACAGGAACCUGUCUGGACUGGACCGUGGGGAAGGCGUGGCGGGGCCAGGAGCCUGAGAGACGCCUGGGUAAGAGGAGGGCGUGAAUGAAAACGAUAGUGGGCGGGGCCAGACACAAGGGCGGUGGGCAGGGCCAGGAGCCGGAGGGCGGGGCCAGGGUCCGAGGAGGGCGUGGCUGGACUCCGGGCGCGAGUGGAAUCGGGGCGGGGCCGGGCAUCUCCGCGCGCCCUGGAUCGUGGCUCCGGGGCUCCGGCCCCAAUUUCUCGCAAGCUGAGCGCACCCCGGGAGAGGAGUCGCCUCGACCGGGCGCACCUCCUGUGGUCAGUCUCGGGCGCUGGUUCCCCACGCCGGCCCUGUCAGGGCGCAGUCGGUCAGCUUUUCAUUAGCAGAAAACCCCGGUCGGCACGCCGGCGCCGCGCAGACGUCUCGGUUCAGGGUGAGGCCGUCGCCAGCUCCGGGGCGUGGGCAAGACCGCUUGGGGGCAACAGGAGCCUGUUUCUUGUUGAAUGCCGCCGCAGCGUCAGGGAGCGCUGGAACACGUGGUAAG